rnacentral:rRNA from 1 species
GACGAACGCUGGCGGCGUGCUUAACACAUGCAAGUCGAACGGAAAGGCCCUGCUUUUGUGGGGUGCUCGAGUGGCGAACGGGUGAGUAACACGUGAGUAACCUGCCCUUGACUUUGGGAUAACAUCAGGAAACUGGGGCUAAUAUCCGAUAGGAGCUCCUGCUGCAUGGGGGGGGUUGGAAAGUUUCGGCGGUUGGGGAUGGACUGGCGGCUUAUCGGCUUGUUGGUGGGGUAGUGGCUUACAAAGGCUGUGACGGGUAGCCGGCCUGAGAGGGUGACCGGCGACAUUGGGACUGAGAUACGGCGCAGACUCCUACGGUAGGCAACAGUGGGGAGUAUUGCGGAAUGGGCGGAAGCGUGAUGCAGCAGCGCCGCGUGCGGGAUGACGGCCUUCGGGUUGUGAACCGCUUUCGACUGUAACGAAGCGUGAGUGACGGUAAUGGGUAAAGAAGCACCGGCUAACUACGUG